CUUCUCUUCUCAAGACA
rnacentral:tRNA from 2 species